CAGAUUGAACCUCCCAAGGUUCAGCCGUCUAAUUUAUACAAGUGUGCUUGCCUCCUGUAUUAGUGGUCAGCAUGGGUUAGACUCAUCGACCACAGCCGACAGAAGGGAAGUGAAAACAAGCUCAUCCGCUCCAGCCACCAUACAGAGACAUCGCCGCCCAACCACAAUGUCUCUUGCUGGAUGUUACUUUUCUUAUUGAGGGCUGACUGACUGGGCUGGCAUUGUGAACUUGAACGCUUUACAGUAAUCCGCAGGCAUUGUUGUUGCUGGAGAAUAGUGUUCCGUAUGUUAGUUUUGAUCACAGAGACAGAAAAAAGAA
rnacentral:sRNA from 1 species